CGAGCCUUUCAAGAUGUCAUGGCUGACACAUGUAUUUAUUUGACAAGUUGAUAUAAAUUGAUCAUGGGUUACCGAUGCAAGAGGCAUAAACGACAACUUAUAUCAUGGAUGGAUGGUACCGGUGUUUCUAAGGAUAAAAUAAAAUCAAGUUUCGUGAUAUCCUUAGUUCAACGACAGCUUCAAGUACCCUCUUGAGUGAAAGAUCAAGAUGAAACGACCAAGGGACGACACGAUUUGGACGUCAUUGGAUCUACAACCCACUGACGAGUAGCGUGGGAGAGUAAUAAAAAUAACAAAGAAAAGUAACUAAAAUAGAUAGAAACUCAAAGAUAUCGAAAAGCACAAAAUAAGUCGGGGACUCUUCCUUCAUUUGAGGGUUUUCUCCAGGUGUUCCGAGGCUCGCACUCCCUAACAUGCCCAAUUCUGUGAAUUAGCCGUGCCCUGGCUUUGAUCAGCCCAGAGGUGGAAACAAAGGUAUCAUGAGGUAAAUAAGACCCCCCUCCCCCUCCCCUCCCCGGGAAUAAGACUCUUGUUUCAGGAUAUCGAUAAAGUCUGACUGAAGAUUUGAUGUAAAUUGAACUGGUAUCUGUUUUGGGCACUGUCUAACAGGAGAAAUCUGUAGACUAUACAAUGAGAAACAUUGCCAGCGAGGUUCAAAUGCCAUAAUAAUAAAGAACAAUACUUAUAAGUACUUCACGGCAUGGGCCCCCAACGUAUAAUUUCCCGCGUUUGGUCAGGAACAAAAGCCCUAAUCCUACCUCAAACCUACAAAAAUUACCUGACAAAAAACAAUCAAAAUGCAAUAACACAAUUGAUAAAUAUUUCAUUCUCUUUCCACUCUUGUUGACAAAACUUACAAACUACUACUUCUGGAACUAUGAACAAACUGACUUUUGAGUAUUGGUUUGUAUACAAACGCGAACUUUAUGCACAAUUUUGACAUUUUUAAAACUAUUUUUCCCCCACAAGGAAUGGAUUGCUAUUUGUUUGGCUUGUAUCGCGGGCAGUACGUUUUAUACAAGGAUUUCUAGACAUUUAAUUGCGUUGUUUCCCGGUAGGAGCUUCAUGGCCCCUAACCUACCAGCAGCACAGCGGUACCGGUUGACAACCUGCGGCAUUCAAUAACAUACAUAUUUUUUAAAGCCUUUUCGAUUUGUCAAAAGCUCACAGCAAGACGUCCUGUUGAUAUCAAAGCCUUUACAUCGAAAACGUGCUCAGCUAUUGUUUUCGAGCACUUUUAAUCUCAAUCUGGCCGGAAUACGCCUAGUUUCAUAAGAAAGGAAGUCAACAAUCGUUUUAAAAUUACCAUGUUGUUUUGAGGCGGUUAUAGGCCCAUCUUGCUUGUCCGUUUGUCCGAGCGACGACUCUUGUGUCGGAGACAAUUCAGGGUGGGGAGACAAUGUAUAGUUGCCAUGGAGAUUGCUCUAUCAGGGGGGACACUGGUAAUCGUGAUUUAUGUACAAGCAACAAGUGCGCCAAGAACAGUGUUUGCAUUGUUUUGAUUUUUAUUGUACUAAGAUGAUAUCUCUGUACGCUUAUAUAUAUACAUAUAUAUAUUUAUAUAGAUAACAUUUCACUAUUUAGUAACUUGCCUUGUCAUUUCAUUUUACAAAGUGUGUAAAUAUAUUACAUUAUCUAAUUGCAUCAAAACCGAUAUUCUAAUGUACAACAUCAUGGGUUUUUGUUUCGCAAAUACUCACUCACUCGACCUUAUGCCAGUUGCUACGGUAACGACGAGUAAGAACUUUGACAGACUCAAGGGGUGUUAUCAUUAGUACCACAUGGAUUAAAUAUUAUUUAUUAAUA
rnacentral:lncRNA from 1 species